rnacentral:rRNA from 2 species
GCGGGGGACGUGGUGAGUAACACGUGGGCAACCUGCCCUUGAGACGGGGUAUAACUCCGGGAAACCGGAGCUAAUACCGGAUAACACAUAUCUUCGCAUGAGGAUAUGUUAGAAGGUGGCUUUUAGCUACCACUCAAGGAUGGGCCCGCGGCGCAUUAGCUAGUUGGUGAGGUAACGGCUCACCAAGGCGACGAUGCGUAGCCGACCUGAGAGGGUGAUCGGCCACACUGGGACUGAGACACGGCCCAGACUCCUACGGGAGGCAGCAGUAGGGAAUCUUCCGCAAUGGACGAAAGUCUGACGGAGCAACGCCGCGUGAGUGAUGAAGGUUUUCGGAUCGUAAAGCUCUGUUGUUAGGGAAGAACAAGUACCUGUUAAAUAAGCAGGUACCUUGACGGUACCUAACCAGAAAGCCACGGCUAACUACGUGCCAGCAGCCGCGGUAAUACGUAGGUGGCAAGCGUUGUCCGGAAUUAUUGGGCGUAAAGCGCGCGCAGGCGGUUCCUUAAGUCUGAUGUGAAAGCCCACGGCUCAACCGUGGAGGGUCAUUGGAAACUGGGGAACUUGAGUGCAGAAGAGGAGAGCGGAAUUCCACGUGUAGCGGUGAAAUGCGUAGAGAUGUGGAGGAACACCAGUGGCGAAGGCGGCUCUCUGGUCUGUAACUGACGCUGAGGCGCGAAAGCGUGGGGGAGCGAACAGGAUUAGAUACCCUGGUAGUCCACGCCCGUAACGAUGAGUGCUAAGUGUUAGAGGGUUUCCGCCCCUUUAGUUGCUGCAGCAAACGCAUUAAGCACUCCCGCCUGGGGAGUACGGUCGCAAGACUGAAACUCAAGGGAAUUGACGGGACCCGCACAAGCGGUGGGAGCAUGUGGUUUAAUUUCGAAGCAACGCGAAGAACCUUUACCAGGGUCUUGACAUCCUCCUGCUACUUUCUAGAAGAUAGAAGGGUUCCCCUUCGGGGAACAGAGUGACAGUGUGAG